rnacentral:tRNA from 1 species
UCCUCGAUAGCUCAGUUGGUAGAGCGGGUGACUGUUAAUCACUAGGUCGCAGGUUCGAGUCCUGCUCGAGGAGCCA